UACCAGACUCCUACGGGAGGCAGCAGUGGGGGAUAUUGCACAAUGGGGGAAACCCUGAUGCAGCGACGCCGCGUGGGUGAAGAAGCGCCUCGGCGCGUAAAGCCCUGUCAGCAGGGAAGAAAAUGACGGUACCUGAAGAAGAAGCCCCGGCUAACUACGUGCCAGCAGCCGCGGUAAUACGUAGGGGGCAAGCGUUAUCCGGAUUUACUGGGUGUAAAGGGGGCGCAGACGGCGAUGCAAGCCAGGAGUGAAAGCCCGGGGCCCAACCCCGGGACUGCUCUUGGAACUGCGUGGCUAGAGUGCAGGAGGGGCAGGCGGAAUUCCUGGUGUAGCGGUGAAAUGCGUAGAUAUCACGCAGAACUCCGAUUGCGAAGGCAGCGCACCGGCGCCCUACUGACGCUCAGGCACGAAAGCGUGGGUAUCGAACAGGAUUAGAUACCCCCGUAA
rnacentral:rRNA from 1 species